CCCUGUCUCUACAUGUCACAUAGCAUAGCUCUCUACAGUCCUGAAGGGGGAAAAAAAAACAUUUUCUCAUCUUUACAGCUCUGAUAUCGUGUUGAAGCAGCUGGCUGAAACACCUCAGGCUCUGAGCUUGACUAUGCAAGUAUUUCCUUCGAAUCCCUUACUGCACCCCUUCUGUAUCCAGCAUGAGAGGAUUGAUCCAAGCAUUUGAUUCACAGCACUGAUGUAAAUCCUUGGCCUGAGUGAUUGUCUGUUUUUAGGACAGGUAGAUACAUGUAGCUGCGGCCGUUCAUGGAAUCACUGUCAGGCCUGGAUAAGCUUACACGGGGAGUGUUGAGCAUCCAAACACUAAGACCAUCUAUACAUCAUACUGUAUAUAUAGCCAACUGUUGCAGCAUGAUCUUCACAGAAACCUGGCUGGAUUACACCACCCCAGACGCGGCUAUUGAGCUAGCUGGCCUUACCGUCUACCGAGCUGACAGAACAGCUGACUCAGGAAAGAAGAUCGGCGGAGGCUUGUGUAUUUACUCUAACAACUCUUGUUGUACAAAUACCAUUGUAGUUGAAAGACGCUGUUGCCCUGAUGUGGAGUUUAUGCUGCUUAAAUGUAGACCGUUUUAUCUCUUUCUGUGGUGUAUAUUUGUGCUGUGUAUAUCCCCCCAGACACUAAUGCUAAACUGGCUCUAGCACAGCUACACAACAGCAUUAAUAACAGCCUGGCUGCACACCCUGACAGUGUCUUUAUGUAAGCGGGGGAUUUUAAUCAUGCUGAUUUAAAAACUGUAUUUCACAAAUUCCAUCGUAAUGUGAACUGUGCAACUAGAGAUAAAACACUGGACCAGGUGUAUACCAAUGUGACUAAUGUGCUUAAAAAAGUCCAGGCAUAUCCUCAGUUGUGUUUGAGCGAUCAUAUCUCACUCAUGCUCUAUCCUUGGUAUACACCCACUAUUAAGACUGCUGGACCCAUGGUGGAGCCAGUUCAAACAUGGCCUAAAAAUGCUAUCCCUGAGCUACAGGGUUGCUUCCACUACACAAACUGGGAUGUUUUCAGAGACCGGGAAUUAUUAACACGCCAGACCCUUGAUGAGUACACCACUACAGUGAUGGAUUAUAUUAAUUUCUGUGUAGACAGGGUUACAUUCUGGAAGGUUACAUUCCAUGUCUUUCCUAACCAAAAACCAUGGAUGACACAUUAAAGCCAGGGAUGCAGCCUAUAGGUCUGGGGAAAGGGGGGCUUACAGCACAGCCAGGAGUGCUCUUAGAAGGGGUAUCAGGUCUGCCAAACUGGAUUACAAAAGGCGGAUUGCAGCCCAUUAUAACACCUCUACAAACUCCAGACAGGUGUGGGAGGGAAUUAGGGCAAUAUUGGACUACAAGGGAGCAACAUCUGCCUCUGUGAGUACUGUAGUACUUCCACUCUAGCAGAGGAAUCAAUGCUCAUUUUUAUACCCAUUUUGGUAGGGAAAACAAGGACACUUUGUUGCCCCAUCUGCCCUCCAACAACAACACUGCACCAGUCUUGAGCCUUCAUGAAGUGAGACUCUGUCUGAGCAAAAUCAACCCCAGGAAGGCAUCCGGUCCAGACGGUGUGCUGGGCCGGGUGCUAAAGGACUGUGCGGCCAGGCUGGCAGAGGUCUUCACCACCAUCUUCAACCUGUCACUGCCCAAGGCAUGGGUCCCAGCAUGU
ensembl:lncRNA